UUUUAACGGAACGGCUAGCUAUUGAACAAGAAA
rnacentral:sRNA from 1 species